UCAUUGACUGGAGCUCGUGAACACAUACAGAAGCAAGAAGACAACCUCAGGUGCUAUUUAUGUUGCUUUUUGAGACAGGGUCUCUCAUUGAACAGAAAUCCAUUUAUUAGAAUGCUAAACUAUUUCUGCCCCAAGGACUGGGAUCACAAACAUACCCAUGACCAGCUGUCUUAAUGUGGAUUCUGGGGACUGAACUCAGGUCAUCAUGCUUAUAUGACAAGCACUUUACCAUCCUGGUCAUCUCCCCAGUCUUUACUAAAUUUAAUCUGUGUGUUUGUGUGCACGCAUGCAUGCGUUUGUGUGCAUGUGUAGAAGCACUCAUAUGUGCUUGGCAUGUGUACAAUCAGGUGAAACCUUCUGCAGUCACUUCCUUCUCCAUGUAGUUUCUGGGAAUGGAGCUCAGGUUAGCAGCAGAAUGGCAGCAAGUGUCUUUCCCUACCCAGCAUCCUCACUGGCCUAAAGUCUAAUUUUAAACCACUCUCGUGUAUCCAGCUUCUUUUCCCCUCUGGAUAAUUUAUUCUUGCUGAGUAUAAGAGUCCAUCUAUCUCACAGCUGCAUAGUAUUCCACUACACUAAUACGGCAGAGAAGAUUACCAUCCUGCUGUAGAUGGUUACCUUACUUGCACACAUAACAAGGCUGCAGAGAUCUACCUCUGCAUCUUUUGGUAUGGGUAGACUCAUGACUGGGCAUAUACUUGAAGUCAGACGUCCUGGAGGAGUGGAGGCUCAUGUCUGAAAUGCUAACACUGCAGGAGGACUGCCAGGACUCUGAGGCUAGACGGGGCUGCAAGCUCAGUUCCAAGCCAGCCCAAAUUAGAGUGAAAACCUGCCUCAACAAAAGUGUAACUACUUAGAUUUGGUGGACAAUGCCAAACACUUGGCUAGUCUGUCACUUCCUGUUCUCACCCCCACUGGUGUUAAUCAGAAUGGUGAGCUCUGUGCUGGAUGUGUGACAGAGUUUGAUCUGGUAUUCCCGAUGAGGCUGACGGCUGCACUCUACACCCGUCCAUGACGAGUGGCUGUGUCUGCUUACUGCCUUGUGCCAUGUUCUAGCUCCAGCCUCUAUUUUAUUUUUUCCAUGUCAAUUUGUAAUUCUUAUGUAUUCAUAAAAUCAAAAUCUUAAAUACAUAAACUUUAAAAAAGAUUUUAUGUGGAAGUGUGAGUACCCGAGUAUGAGAAUAAAUGCAGGAGCCCCUGGAGGUCAGCAGAGGGCACCUCACUCUGUAGCCCUAGAUUCCCUGGAACUAGUGUUACGGGUGGGUGUGAGCUAUGCUGAGAACUGAAUCUUCGUCUUGGGGAAGAGCAGUAAAUGCCCUAAACCACCGGGCUAUCCCUUCAGCCCCCUUGACUUUUUCUCUAUUUCUUUUGUGUAUGUGUACACGCUUGCACACAUGUGCCACAGUACGCAUGUGAUGUGGAAGGAUGACUUGUGGGACCUCCUUCCUUCACGUAGGCUCUGAGGAUAGAACUUGGGUUGUCAACCUUAGCAGGAAGUACCUUUAUCCACUUGGGCAUCCUGUCAGCCCCAUAUACUACAAAAUCUUCUCUGCUUUUCCAUGAGAAAGAGAAUUUUACUAUCAUCUAAUUUGUCUUUUUCCUUGAUUUUCCUGAUUUUCUUGUGUGCUUGUGAAUAAAAACCAAACAAAACAAAACCUGUCUAGCCAAGGUCAUACAGGUAUUAACUAAUUUAAUUUUUGUAUUCAUUUGUUUUGAGAGUGUCAUAUGCUACGGUGACAGUCAUAGGAUAACUUUUAGGACUCAGUAUUCUCCUGCUAUUAUGUGAGUCUCAGAGAUGAAACUCAGGUCACUAGACUUGGCAACAAGUAACUUAACCCAGUGAGCCACCUCACUGGACCAUACUGUAAGAAUCCACUAUGAUUUCUUUUGUUGAGCCAGAUUAAUGUUGAUAUUGACACCCAACACUGCCUCAAUACACACACAUACACCCCUGCUUUUCGUACCUGUGACAAACACUCUACCUCUGAAACUACAUCCCCAGCCUAACCAUAAGCCAUUCUGAGGAGCACUCAAGUCCCACUGUAGUCAGGAAACAGUAUUCUCAGGCUGGAGUCGGGGCUCAUAGAAAGCAUAUGCUCAUAGAAGUGUUCAAGGCCCUGGAUUUAAUCCCCAGAACCAAACAGCAAAGCUUGAUAUUCCCAGUGAAUUUAACUCUGAAACUAGGUAAGGGCUGCUGUAUGAACAAGCACACAGGCUGCUGUAGUGCAUGAUUCAUGUGCACAUGGAAAGAAUAUUCCAUUCUUGCUGAGUGCUUUACACAUAUGUCAACAUUUAGUCAACUGUUAAAUCACGUGUUCCAGGCUAUCUUAGCCUGGGCACGGUGAUUUACGCCUUUAAUUCCAGCCACCAGAAGGCAGAGGCAGAGAGUUUUCUGUGAAUAGAGUCAACUGGGUAUAUAUUCAGCAAGUUUCAGGGCAGCCAGGGCUCCAUAGUGGUAAAAAAACAUAUAAACAAAAAUAAUAAAAUUUGAAACACCCUCUUUCCUGAUUAUUUUUUGUGCUUUGUCUAGAAUGUAUUCUGUAGAAAGAUUUUUCUAGAGCCAUGUUUUCAAUACUGGGAAGGUAACGGGUCUCAUAUUUAAUCACCCAAGUUGCUCCUAGGGAAUGGGAGGAAAAUGUAAAGGUUGUUGUCAUUGAACGCAUGAUUAAUUAAUUAAUCCCUCUCGUAUCCAUGGGUUAUUUGUCUCCCUUUUCAUCUGUCAGAUAUUCUUUAUUUUUUUUUUUGAAUCUGUGCUAUUAGAUGGUUAGAAUAUAUUCCUGACAGCAGACAUCCUCACUGUGUGGCGGCACCCACAGCUGUCAGUCAGCACACUGUGCACUGCUGUCUGCGCAGGUUCAGAAGCUCUCAGUACAUGUCUGAAUGCUAUACAUUUCUCCACCCCUUCUUUCAGGGUUUCUGUCCUUAUGUUUAAGCUGUGCGUCCCUGAUAAGGAACGUGGAGUUGGGUUUCCCAUGUUCUGACAAGUUCAGGCUCUCUUAUCCAGUCUGCACCAUCAAUCACCUGCCAAACCCUGCAUAAUGUUUACUGUUUCCAAUCCGUAUCCUUUUGCACGGAACAAGAACUCUUUUGUGCUUGCCUUCUCCUCAGCUGUUUGUUAUAUAAUGGUUUACUGAUCACCUUUACUGCCGACCUACCUACGGUUACGCUCUCAAACAAAGCUGACUCAGAACACCUUCCAUCUAGGAUAUGUAUCUUUUUUUUUUUCUUUUACGUUUUUCGAGACAGGGUUUCUCUGUGUAGCCCUGGCUGUCCUGGAACUCACUCUGUAGACCAGGCUGGCCUCGAACUCAGAAAUCCACCUGCCUCUGCCUCCCAAGUGCUGGGAUUAAAGGCGUGCACCACCACUGCCCGGCUUUUAGGACAUGUAUCUUACUUCUGUGCCUCUAACCCCCAAGACACUGAUGUCUUGUACUCUUUUCUAUCCCCAAUUCCUCUUUUCUGGCUUCUUUACUACUGCUCUAUAUUCGAGCGUGAGGCCACUCCAACUGUCUCACAUCUCACUGCGAUUAAUCUAAUGAGUUCUUAAUUUAUUAUAUUUUAGUUUCAUAAAUACUCUUCUUAAAUUCCUGUUCUCCCAAGAAUUCAUCUUUUCACUUAUUUUAUCUAAUAUUUUGUUUUUCAAGACAAGGUUUCUCUGUGUAGCUCUAGCUGUCCUGGAAUUUGCUCUGUAGAUCAGGUUGGCCUUGAACUCAGAGAUCCACCUGCCUCUGCCUCCCAAGUGCUGGGAUUAAAGGUGUGUGCCACCACCACCUGGUGCCUUAGCCAGCCUCUUACUAUUAAAUAUCUAAGUUGUUUCUUUAAAUAACUAAAGGAAAAUAUAUUUUCUUUAAAAUCUGGACUUAAGGGCUGGAGAGAUGGCUCAGCAGUUAAGAGCACUGACUGUGAGGGGAAUUCCUCCUGCCUAUAUCCAUAUGGACUGUUGUAAAGAAUUGGACGGCAAGCUCCUCCCGUGGAAGAUAGACACUGAAGUCCCUUGCCUGCAGGCUAGCUCACAGCCAGAGAGGGUGCUGCGCAGGCAGCUGGGCGAGAACUGGGCCAACCCUUUCACUCAGCUGCACCGUGUGCCCCACUACUGACCAGGCUGGGAAAGCACUGCUCACUGCCUGCUGCGACAGUGGCAAGCCCCAUGUGGGGUAAUCGAGCUUUCUGAUCGGAACUGAGGCCUGCUCCACUGGAGGGAAGUCAUAUCCGGUAUUGUAACCUGGUCGAAAACCUGUGGCGGGGAGGUCAUAGAGCCUUCUGGGGAAGCUACAACUGUUUUACUAAAUAGACACGAUGUGCUUGCCAGUUUCUUUUUAAA